rnacentral:rRNA from 1 species
UGAGGAAUAUUGGUCAAUGGGCGAGAGCCUGAACCAGCCAAGUAGCGUGCAGGAUGACGGCCCUAUGGGUUGUAAACUGCUUUUAUGUGGGGAUAAAGUGCGUGACGUGUCAUGCAUUGCAGGUACCACAUGAAUAAGGACCGGCUAAUUCCGUGCCAGCAGCCGCGGUAAUACGGAAGGUCCGGGCGUUAUCCGGAUUUAUUGGGUUUAAAGGGAGCGUAGGCUGUCUAUUAAGCGUGUUGUGAAAUUUACCGGCUCAACCGGUGGCUUGCAGCGCGAACUGGUCGACUUGAGUAUGCAGGAAGUAGGCUGAAUUCAUGGUGUAGCGGUGAAAUGCUUAGAUAUCAUGACGAACUCCGAUUGCGCAGGCAGCUUACUGUAGCAUAACUGACGCUGAUGCUCGAAAGUGCGGGUAUCAAACAGG